GCCCCUGUGGCGAAAUGGUAGACGCGGCAGACUCAAAAUCUGUUGUUGGCAACAACGUGCUGGUUCGAGUCCGGCCAGGGGCACCA
rnacentral:tRNA from 1 species